rnacentral:rRNA from 1 species
CAGAGGGUGCAAGCGUUGUUCGGAAUUACUGGGCGUAAAGCGCGCGCAGGCGGAUCCAUAAGUCUGGAGUGAAAUCUCACCGCUCAACGGUGGGGCUGCUUUGGAUACUGCGGAUCUGGAGACCGGUAGAGGCUGGUGGAAUUGCAGGUGUAGCGGUGGAAUGCGUAGAGAUCUGCAAGAACACCCGUGGCGAAGGCGGCCAGCUGGGCCGGUUCUGACGCUGAGGCGCGAAAGCGUGGGGAGCAAACAGGAUUAGAUACCCUGGUAGUCCACGCCGCAAACGAUGGGCACUAGGUGCUGGGGGGAGCGACCCCGUCAGUGCCGCAGCUAACGCGAUAAGUGCCCCGCCUGGGGAGUACGGCCGCAAGGCUG